UAAUACGGAGGAUCCGAGCGUUAUCCGGAAUUAUUGGGUUUAAAGGGUGCGUAGGCGGCCUGAUAAGUCAGGGGUGAAAGACGGUGGCUCAACCAUCGCAGUGCCUUUGAUACUGUCGGGCUUGAAUGUACUUGAGGUAGGCGGAAUGUGACAAGUAGCGGUGAAAUGCAUAGAUAUGUCACAGAACACCGAUUGCGAAGGCAGCUUACUAAAGUAUGAUUGACGCUGAGGCACGAAAGCGUGGGGAUCAAACAGG
rnacentral:rRNA from 1 species